rnacentral:lncRNA from 1 species
CAGCACGGCCGGCCGAGCAGAUGGAGAUCAGGCCGCUGCAGCGCAUGGCGCGCGAGCCCGAGGUCGAGCACUACAAGGGCUACCACAGCUACCCCGUCAGGACCUCCCCGGUCUCCCCCGCUGCGGACUAUGAGGAGGAGCCGCUCUCUGAGCGUGGGCCGCCAUCCCCGGAGCCCCAGGGAGAGCCUCGGAGGCGCGGGGGCACCCCGGUGCAGACACAGGAGCCCGCAGAGAGGCACGCGCCCCAGGUGGAGGCCAAGGCGGAGCCGCCACAGCCCGAGGAGCUCAAGCAGCCCAGGCGGCGGCCCAGCCCCGAGCGCAAGGCAGCGAGCAGGAGCGAGCCCGCUGCUGACAGAAAGACUGAGGGCCGGGCGCCGGGACGGACGGAGCACAAGGCGGGGGCCAAGCGGAGCCCAGCCCCGGUGGUGGCGGUGGCAGCAGCGCAGGAUGCGGAGGAGGGUGACGAGGGACCUAACACAAUUGUGAUCUGCAUGGUCAUCUUACUGAACAUUGGUCUAGCCAUCCUAUUUGUACAUUUUUUGACAUGAGGUCCCCCUCGGACGAGGCAUUGCUGCUCACUGAGACCAUGGACCUUGGUGGGGAUUAAAUCUCAGUCACCUGGAAACACCUAUGAGGAGGACUUGAGAUCCCAAGGUUGCACUGCAAACAUGAACCUUAAGUAAAAGUACCUGAAGAUCCUCCGUUCAGUCUCCCUGCUCCCAGGCUGUGACUGGCCUCUGCAAUCUACCAAGAAAAAGUCAGGAUUUCUACAACUUAACCUCCUUCUCUUCUUUGUAUAAAGUAGCAGUUGCCUUAAAUUAUUCUCACCAAAGCCAUCAACUGCCCUGUCGUGCCAGGGAUGAGGAAUUUAUCUUUAGCUGUAGGAAAAUGAGUGAGAAGGUCUCAUCCACACACUGUGAUGUGUUUUUUAAUUCUCUUGGUUGACUUGAUGUUGAAGAUUUCCCAAAGAAUAUCAUCCACAGCCUGAAAAUGCAACAAUGUGCAACAACCAAAAUGACACCUGAGAGCCGUGCCACGGCUAGGGCUGGACAGCAUCUCCCCCCAUGCUUGUGUGUCAUCCAAAGGGACAAGCAAAAAGUCUUUCCUUUCCCCAUCAUCUGGAGGUGUUUUCCAUGUAUGGAGGACUGAGAGGGGGAGCAUGUUGACAUUGGGCUUGGUGAAGUGUGACCUGCCCAUGCCUGCCAAUGAGCCACGGUUGGGGCUGCGGGGUGGGGUGUGAGGGGCUGGCUGGGGCGAGGCUGCUGGUGUGCCCAGGGGUGCUGCGGGUGCAGACGGUGCCCAUUUCUGGACUGGGCACCAUCCGAGCUCUCUCCUGCCACCAGCAAUGCUCUUGAAAGUGUCUUGCAGCGGGUGACUUCUCACUGUAAUGGGAAAGGAAAUCAAUGUGCAGAAUUUGCCCUUUUACCCUUUUCUUUCCCCUAUGAAAAUGGUGCGAGUUACAAUUAAAGGGUGGUACUUACUGAACAAUACCCCUGUAUACCCACAAGUUCCUCCUCCUCGUAGCGUUGAGCUGUGAGGGGGCUCCAGUGCUGCUUUUUAACCGAAAUAGAGCGGGCAGCCUUUCCUAGCAGAGCAUGCAGGGUGGCUGUCGUGGGAAAGGUGAAGUUAUUCCUGAAAUGAGAAAGGUGCAGAGACCCCAGUGACUCCAGUAUGUUUCGGUAUUGGGCUCAAAACUAUGCAGCAGCCAGCCUUUCAGCAAUGGUAGAGCACAGAGGGGCAAUAAAGCUGUUCUUGUGUGCCA